GCACUGAUGAACCUGAUAGAUUUGAUUGCUUGAAGUGAUAGAAUUUGUACAUCCUCUAAGAAGUUCUGAGCAG
rnacentral:snoRNA from 1 species